rnacentral:misc_RNA from 1 species
GAAUGCAGAGAUAGACCUGUUGAAGAAACCUUCCUAGAAAAAUUAUCCAAUUUAACCAAUUCCAUCAGAUCUAGUGAAAGCUGUAGAAAUUGAACCAAUAUUGUUUAAAUCCAACUGUUACAAACAUUAACAUGUACAUUUUAUGUAAUAUUGUGCAGGAACGCUGGUACGUGAUAUUUAUGCAAUUGUGCAAAGCAACUUGCACUUAUAUUUGUUCAUGGAGAAUUCAUGAAAUAAAAAAAAAAAAUCCCCCAAAACCAAUACCAUAUUAUCCACGCUGAGGCUCCCGAUCCAAGUGCUGACCAAGUUACCACCCCCAUGCUCCACCGCCAUAACUCCCCAGUCACAUCGCAGCAUAGAGCAGCUGACAUUAUUUUGUAUAAUGUCAGUUUUCCCGUCACUUUGCAGCAUAAAGCAGCCGUCAGUAUGAUGUCGGUAUUCCCAGAUUUUUGUAGUGAUAUUUUUUUACUACACAUUAUUUACAAUUUUUUUCUGUUUGUUUUGUUUACAUUACACAGUAAUCAAUUUAUUGUAUAGAAAGUUCACCUAUAAAAGAUAUUUAUUUUUUACAGAUCUUUGUUGUUUUGUUUUCACUUUAUAGCAAAUCCAACUGCUGUCACACCGUUCACAUUGGUAUCUAUUUUACCAAUUUAUUAUUUUUUUAUGUAUUUUAUUAGAAAUAAAAUUAGGACAUGU